CCUGNAACCCGGCUGUAUGAAGCUGGAAUCGCUAGUAAUCGCAGAUCAGAAUGCUGCGGUGAAUACGUUCCCGGGUCUUGUACACACCGCCCGUCACACCAUGGGAGCCAGGAAUGCCCGAAGCCAGUGGCCUAACCGCAAGGGAGGAGCUGUCGAAGGCAGGCCCGGUAACUGGGGUGAAGUCGUAACAAGGUAUC
rnacentral:rRNA from 1 species